GCAAAAGUGGACCUACAAGAAUUAAAAAAUUUUUAAAAAAAAUACCACAUUCUAGAUCUUGCAUUUGGCUCAAGUCAAAUUUUUUCCAGAUCUUACAUUCGGCCAUUGGUAUAAGGGAAACAAGAAUUCCACAUUAAAAAAAAAAGAGUAGCCCCCCUAGCAAUGGUAAUCAAGUCUUUCUCAAGUACAAAUUUUCCCAUUUUGAUUGAAAGCUUCCAAUUAUAGAUGGUGUUUAAUUUGAUUCAAUUUGGAGGAGAGGGAAUUGGGUGGAAGAGAGGUAUUUGGUGGAGUUCUAUUUAGUAGAUCUGAAGGAACGAUGAAGGAGCGGGAGAUCGACAUUAGGCAUGGAGAAGGCUACAAAACCUCGGGGUGGAGCAUGAUCAAUUCUAUCAGCCCAUUUUUUAUCUUGAGAGAUUGUUUCCCAAACACAACAAGGAAAGUGAUUGAGAGAACAUUGAAGAAAGAAUUGGCUGUUGUUGGCACAAAUGUAGCUCGUGCAAUAAGUCCUGCUAUUGAGAAAACUAUUUCUUCGACUACUACGGAUUCCUUCCAGUUAUAGGAGGAGAUUUCUAAUCUAGAGUCUUGAUUCGCAAAGUGGGCCCCAUACUUAGAUAUUCGAGACUUUACAUAACAGGUUUGUAGAGAUAACUUGCUGGAGAAGUUAUCUAUAAUGGGGAUGUUGAAUGAGCGUUGUUUUUCUCCUGCAUCGUUAAACUAUAUUAUUUUAUUAGUCUAGACUACUUAAACUAUUUAAACUUCUAGUUAAUGGGUUUUGGUUACUUAAACGUUUUGGUUUUGGGCCGUUAUGGUUCCAACUUGUAUGGAGCCAUUAACUACUAUUUAAUGUUUUGAAAGUUAGUUAUUUCCGCUGCGUAAUUUUGGUAAUAGCCUUAACCGUUAUCACGGUGGUGGUAAUACUUAAGUAAUUCCUUUAUUUUAAGUUCGAAAAUGGUUUUAUAAAGGUAAGGAAUUAUUAGGGUGUUACAAGAAUGAACGUGUUGGCAAAGUUAGCCGCCAGUAUAGAGCAGAGCAAAGGUUUUGCAUCUUUUGAAUCAGACAUGGGAAAGUGCAUCCAGACUUGAUUUCUUAACAAGGAAAUGACUGAACUAACUAAGAUGAUGACAUAUCCAACUUUUUUGAGAAUAUUUUUAAAACAGAAGGAAGAAGGUAGGGUCCUUAUUUAAAAGCAUAUUGAGAAUAUUCUUUUUCAAGGAUGUCAUUUGACAAUGCGGUCAUAUGGUUCAAUAUAUGUCUAAGGUCAAAUCGUCUCUUUUUUUUAAUGUGGAAGCUUCACUUAGGUUGCUAACUGUAGUACUUGCAGAUUACUUAUAACAAAUACUAGUUACCCGAUUCAGGAUGAAUUUUAGAUGCUCAAAGUUCAAGAAGGGGAAAGACAUUCUUGCAUGAAGAGAUGGAAACAAGUUAUUUCGGGAAGUGAAUGCUUCCUUUGGAAGUUAUGCCUAAAGAGGAAAGUUGCUUUUAUUUUAUUGGCAAAGUAAUUAGGUUUAUAAUACGGUCGCGUGCACGAUUCCCUAUCUUCAAAACUCCAUAUCUCAUUCGUCAUUUUGGGAAUUAGGCGAGUGACCAUUAGUUGGAAAGAUCUUGAAGUCUAGAAUCCAACACAAUUAGAAUCAUUGCAUUUGUAUUUGUGGAACUUGAGUUAUAAUUAAAGUUGUGGACUACAAUCAUUUUCUACUUCUUUCGUUAUUCGCUUUGUUUCAAAACUCUUUCAACUCAAUGUUCGUGUUCUCAAAAGUACAUCACCUCUUGUAGUGGUUCAAAUGAGUAGGAAAUGCAUUCAAAUAUGUCAAUUCCUACAAUGAUAAACCUGAAAUUACAAAUACACUACAAAGAGCACAUCUAUACCUAGUAUUUAAAAAACAUAACCAUCAUCAUUUCAAUGACACAUAAGCAACUCCAUCUUGAAGACACAUGUCAAAACAUUAUUAAUCUUACUAUUUACUUUUUGUGAUAAAAAAAUAAUGAACAUUCAUUAUUCCACUUUAUUGCCAUUAGUUUUCACGUAGUAUACUACUAAUCCCUAAUUUAUUAGAAUUGAACUCCCUCCGUCCAUGUUUAUAGCCCCGUUGACAAAAAAAACACGGGUUUUAAGAAAAAUGGAAUGUAGUACACGGAAAAUUGGAAUAUAGUGCAUUGAUAAUUGAUUUGUAUGAGAAAGUGGAAUAUAGUACAUGAAGAAUUAAAAUAUAGUACAUGAGGAAGUUUUGUUGAUUUUUCAAUACAUUUUAAAUUAUCAUAGUACAUAGGAAAAUGGAAAACUUAAUGGCCAAAAAUGUAAACAUGACUAUAAUUUUGGGACGCUCAAAAUAGAAAUAGUAUUAUAAAAAUGGAAUGGAGGGAGUAUCAAAAAUUAGGAUCAAUACUAAACUUUAUUAUGCCUAAACAACUGAUCCCUACUUCAUCUUCCCCAUUCUUCAACUUCCCAUUAACUCUUCAACCUUAAUUAUUUUCACUGUCAAUUUAAUUCAAUCCCCAAAUCUUCUACCCUUCCCCUGUAGCAUCCAUUCAAAAUUUAACCUCCCACUUAAUAGACUUUUUGACUGGUCCGUUUUAAAACGGUAGGAGAUUAUAGGGUGUUUUAAUUCAACAUUUCGAUUGUUUAUUUUCAUCCCCCUCUCUCUCUUUCUCUAAGCACAUUGUUCUUGAUUUUUCUUAAUUUUGGGACGCUCAAAAUAAAAGCACAGGACUAUAGAAAUGAGACGGCGGGAGUACCAAGAAUUAGAAUCGAUACUCAACUUGAUUAUGCCUAAACAACCGUCCCGUAAUUCGUCUUCCCCGUUCUUCAUCUUCCCAUUAACUCUCCAACCUUAAUUAUUUUCAAUGUCAAUUUAAUUCAAUUCCCAAUUCUUCUCUUCUUCUUCUGUAGCGUUCAUUCAAAAUUUAACCUCCCACUAAUAGAAUUUUUUACUAAUUCUUUUUGAAACGGUAGGAAGUUAUAUGGUGUUUUAAUUCAACAUUUCAAUUGUUUAUUUUCAUGCAUGCAAUUCAAGUUGUAGUACCACCUCCACCCCUCUAUCUCUCUAAGCACGUUGUUCUUGAUUUUUCUUAAGCAUAUUGGAAAUAUGUUGUUUAUUCACUAGAGGAAAAAUCGUCAUGUGCUUCCCUUCAAGUGCAGCUCAUUUAUUAAAAUGGCAGCACUUGAGAGCACUAAAAAAAAAGUAAAAAAUAUAUUUUUACAAGUACGGGUCAUUUUAAAAAAUUGGCAGCACUUGACUUCAAGUGCGGGCUUUAAACUCAAAUGCGGGUCAUUUAAAAAUGAGCAGCACAAAAUUUUUCUAAAAAUAGAGCCCACGGUAGAUUUUCCCCAAAAAUAAAGUGGUACUUUUUUUUCAUUUUCCCGCUCCUCUUCCUUCCCCUUCUCUGCUUUUACUUCUGCCAUCGCUAUCUUCUUCCACCGCCGUCGCCGCUGCUUCCACCGCCGCCUCUGCUUCUAAAGAAUGUAGUGUCGAGGUUAGUCCAUCUUGAGUCGCCGCCAUCCACCCACACAACCAGCUGCUUCGAGUUUCCCUAAUUUGAAGAAAUCGUUCAACGAUUCUCCUUAAUUCAAGUUUCCCAGGUAUUGGAUGCUCUUGAAAAUCUUCAUGCUGCUGAUGUUGACCAAAAGCUUCAUGAUGCUGCUGAUGGGAUGGGAUGCUUCAUGAUACAAAAAUCAAUUUGCUGGAAAAGAGGUGCGUUUUCUCAGUCAUGACUUGCAUCGGUUUUGGAAUUGGGCUAACAAAACAGAUGGCAUUGAGACUAAUGAGUGUCUCGAAAACAAUGGUGGAUGCCGGCAGGGCACACAAGCCAACAUCACAGCCUACAAGGUAUUCAAUAUUCCGAGGGAGCGGCCUUUCACCUUUGAGGAGAUAGAUGAAGUUCGAGAAAUGUUGGCAAACUUCAUUACCAGUGAUUGUCUUUGAUAUUUUCUUGUGCUGAAUCUUAAAUUAUGGAUGCUAGCUAGUUUUUCAUAUCAUUGUAAUGUAAUCGACUUUUAUAUUUAAAAUUAUAUAUUGUUUAAUUUAAUUAUCUAUAUAAUUAGAUACUUUUUAUAUGACA